rnacentral:rRNA from 1 species
GUUCCUUAGAUUGUACCCACAUUUGUGUUACUUGGAUAACUGUGGUAAUUCUAGAGCUAAUACAUGCCGACAGAGUUCCGACCAGCGCCGGGUGUAUUAGGCUUCGCGCCGACGCCUGGUGUUCGGAAGGAACGCUCUUAUUAGAUCAAAACCGGCCAAACAGUGUAGCGAACGCGUUUUCGAACGCGUUCGCGCUGUAAGCGGCCCGCGCAAAGACUUGACGACUCUGAAUAAUUUCGAGCUGAUCGCACGGUCUUGGUACCGGCGACGUAUCUUUCAAAUGUCUGCCUUAUCAACUGUCGACGGUAGGUUCGAUGCCUACCGUGGUGGUAACGGGUAACGGGGAAUCAGGGUUCGAUUCCGGAGAGGGAGC